rnacentral:rRNA from 1 species
CAGCAGCCACGGUAAUACGUAGGGUGCAAGCGUUAAUCGGAAUUACUGGGCGUAAAGCGUGCGCAGGCGGUUAUAUAAGACAGAUGUGAAAUCCCCGGGCUCAACCUGGGAACUGCAUUUGUGACUGUAUAGCUAGAGUACGGCAGAGGGGGAUGGAAUUCCGCGUGUAGCAGUGAAAUGCGUAGAUAUGCGGAGGAACACCAAUGGCGAAGGCAAUCCCCUGGGCCUGUACUGACGCUCAUGCACGAAAGCGUGGGGAGCAAACAGGAUUAGAGACCCCUGUAGUCCCUGUCUCUUAUAC